rnacentral:rRNA from 1 species
UACGUAGGGUGCGAGCGUUGUCCGGAAUCAUUGGGCGUAAAGCGCACGUAGGCGGACCGCUAAGUCGGAUGUGAAAGCCCUCGGCUUAACCGAGGAAGUGCAUUCGAAACUGACGGUCUUGAGUAUGGAAGAGGGUCGCGGAAUUCCCGGUGUAGAGGUGAAAUUCGUAGAUAUCGGGAGGAACACCAGUGGCGAAGGCGGCGACCUGGGCCAAUACUGACGCUGAGGUGCGAAAGCGUGGGGAGCAAACAGG